UACGGGAGGCAGCAGUGGGGAAUAUUGCACAAUGGGCGCAAGCCUGAUGCAGCCAUGCCGCGUGUAUGAAGAAGGCCUUCGGGUUGUAAAGUACUUUCAGCGGGGAGGAAGGGAGUAAAGUUAAUACCUUUGCUCAUUGACGUUACCCGCAGAAGAAGCACCGGCUAACUCCGUGCCAGCAGCCGCGGUAAUACGGAGGGUGCAAGCGUUAAUCGGAAUUACUGGGCGUAAAGCGCACGCAGGCGGUUUUGUUAAGUCAGAUGUGAAAUCCCCGGGCUCAACCUGGGAACUGCAUCUGAUACUGGCAAGCUUGAGUCUCGUAGAGGGGGUAGAAUUCCAGGUGUAGCGGUGAAAUGCGUAGAGAUCUGGAGGAAUACCGGUGGCGAAGGCGGCCCCUGGGACGAAGACUGACGCUCAGGGU
rnacentral:rRNA from 1 species